GGUUUUCUUUAAAUGGAAAACGCCCAUAUCUCCAUGUUUCAGAGUAAACAAUGUCAGAUGACGCGAUCUGUUUUUUCUUAAGCUUGCACACAACGCAUAGAUGUGUAAAAAAAAAAACAAAUUAUUUAAAGAAAAAUUCUACUUUAUUUAUUAGAAAAUAGAGAGUUUCUCUUUAUUUAACUUUUUUCUGUAGUCGUUUCAAUAAAGGUUGAUAAAAAUGACAGAACAAUCUAAAGUCACUGCACAUCAUUCACUUGAACUGGAUGAUUUCUAUAAGUUGGUAGAAGAAUUGAUGAAUGUAAUACAAAAUGCAACGUCAGAAGAACGACAGAAAUAUUUAAGGUACUUGGAAGACAAAUUAGAAAAGUGGAAGCAAGAUCUAGUAUACACAGACAUCUAGCCUAAUAAUUUAUAAAUUAAGAUCAGAAGAGAGAAGAAAAAAUUAGUAAUUAUGUUCUGAAAUAGUGAAAAAAUGUACUGAUUAAUUUAAGUUAAAGAACAAUAUCCAUAAGUCUGUCAUUACUUGUUGGAGUAUUUGAGACUUCUGAAUGUUUAGAAAUAUCCUGAACAACUUUGAUUUACAUAAUUCUAUUACACCAAACGAACUUAUUGAUAUGUAAAAAAAAAAAAAUAUUUUCAUGUUUUACUUUUAUACGAAUAAUAUGAUUUCCGAAAGAUUUA